UAGAAAUGACUAUAAUGUGACUAUUGCAUUGGAUAGAGUUUUCCAAUGGCAUUGUUUUCUACCUAUCUGACCUAUGUUGAGUUUCGCCAAGACUUGACGGGACCAUCACAUCUUUUGACCACCCUAAAGUCUCACUCGUUGCGCCAACACAGCAGAGAGUUCGUGAGGAGGGGCCUAUAUCCCUGAUCAGCGGCUUAUCCUUUCGUCCACCACAACACUAACUCACACAGUAACUGAUGACAAUCCUUUCCAACUAAUGCUCACUGAAUUUAUCCUCAGCGCUUCUGUUGACACAGCAUGGCACCAGGGACGGAUCCAGUGAUCCACUAACUUUUCCUAUCAGAGAUCUAGACGGACCUGAAAAUAGCACCUCCUAUACUCUGGUAGGUGAUAAGGUGACGUUUGCAAAGCGGCGUCUAUUAAAUAUCAUACCUUUAUGUUUGAAGCUGAGACCGGCGAUAUUCCCAAGUAAUACGGCAGAUGAAGACACAAGUUUUAGUAAGGGAGGGCUCCUGCAGAGAUCAAUUCACGGACGCUAAUGUUGCCUUGAAUUAGAGUAUGAUAACCGACAGAGUGACGUUUGCAGAGCGGCGUCUAUUGAAUAUCAUACCUUUAUGUUUGAAGCUGAGACCGGCGAUAUUCCCAAGUAAUACGGCAGAUGAAGACACAAGUUUUAGUAAGGGAGGGCUCCUGCAGAGAUCAAUUCACGGACGCUAAUGUUGCCUUGAAUUAGAGUAUGAUAACCGACAGAGAGCAAGUCAAAGUCAGGCCUGCAGCGACGAGCCCCUUUCUUUCGGAUUGUGAAGUGUAAUGUUAAUGUUUAAUGUAGCUGUUUAACGUCGAAAAUUGUUAGUUUGUAAUUGUUUUUGAGAAGCAAAAUAAUUAAUCUGAGAAGUGAUUCCAGUUUUAUAAAGCUCAGGCAUGGGCACCGUAUUGUUUAUUUAGUUAUAUUUUAUACAAUAUCUUUGACCUUUGUCGCAUUAAGUUGUAGUACUACUACUAGUAGCGGGGUAGUACUAGUAAAUACUGAAUACUGUGUUUCGUUUAUUCUAUAAGUAUAUAAAUAUUGCAUUGUGUAUCUUUGUCGCAUAGUACAUAGUAUAAGUUGAUAAGUAGCGAGGUAGUUAAUACUGUUUCGUGAUGUAUUUUGAUCUUACAAUCUUAAUUAUU